CACGGGGGGAGCAAGCGUUGUUCGGAUUUACUGGGCGUAAAGGGCGCGUAGGCGGUCGUGACAAGUCACUUGUGAAAUCUCCGGGCUUAACUCGGAACGGUCAAGUGAUACUGUCGGACUAGAGUACAGAAGGGGCAACUGGAAUUCUCGGUGUAGCGGUGAAAUGCGUAGAUAUCGAGAGGAACACCUGCGGCGAAGGCGGGUUGCUGGGCUGAUACUGACGCUGAGGCGCGAAAGCCAGGGGAGCGAACGGG
rnacentral:rRNA from 1 species